UUAAAAAACAGGAAGUUGGGUAAUAACUUAAGCGGACAUUUUGAAAGUUGACUGGUAUAUUAUAAAAAAAACUUAGUGCUAAGGAACUGCAACGAAAAAGAAAACAUUUUCAGUGAGGGCACAUUAUUUAGUUGGUUCCACAGUGUAGUGGUUCGCACGCCUGCCUCGGAAACAGAGAGUCCUGGGUUCGAUUCCCAGAGGAACCACAUGCCUGGCGCUUGCUCGGGGCAGCCUGUUACACAGCAUAUCUGCUGCUAACACCCCAAUUUCCCAAAUAUGGGAUCAAUACAGUACAUAUUAAUUUUUAAAUUUUUAUUUAUUUGAAAUUGUCGCACAUAUUCUCACAUUUUUAAUAAAUGGUUGUAAAAGUAACAGCACUCUGACCGUUUGAUUACGAUGACAGUUAGAGUUUGUACCAUCAAGGUUUACAGCUAGUACUGAUUACUGUCGGCCCAUUGAUUACGCAACAGCUGCAGGAUUACUGCCAACACUGACGGCUAAAGUCAUCUGUCAGAACACGAUAAUAUGCACUCCUUGGACAGGAGCACACGGAGCUGCACACCACGAACGCCAACACCCCCUCUGAUGUGUACACUUCAGCACACUGUCAACCUGCUCAUCUGAAAAUAACAAAAUGCAGAGAAACCACUCAGAGAACUUCCUGUAACAGGCCGAUCAAUAAAUGAUGCGUCACGGACAAACCAUCGAACGACCGUCUAUGGACCGAUCUGGACCCAGAUGGACUGUUAGCAACAAUGAUGUGACACAUUAUGGAACAACAGAUGUAGGUCAUAAAUGGAACAAAUGCAAAUCUACUGAGACACACAGCACUGACGAAGAACUGCAGUAAAUACAGUAAACAUGCAGCAUGGUCAGUUAAUCAGCUAACAGCUUCUUUUUACAAAUAUAUAAAGAAUGUUCUUAUACUAUGACCAACAAAGAUAAAGCUCCAAUAUUGUUGCUGUAAUGGUGUUGGUAGGAUUUAUUUUAAAUAUGUGUUCACAGAAUUGGGCGAGGCCUUCGAGUAAAAGUAUCUGACCAUUCAGGAUGACUGUAUACAGUCAACGCCUCGCAGAAUUUUUUUUUUUUUUACCUAAGUUACCCAGGGAUCUAUAUUUAAUAGCAAUGAAUUUAGCGCAGAGUUCUGUUUGUACCUUUUCACCUCCAACUAUAAAUGCAAAAAAUAAAAACUUUAAUUUAUUUGUUGCAUUAAAAAAAGGGGUAGGAAGUUGAGUCAACCCUCUUGGCUAAGCUUAAUUCUAGCCAAGUCUCUAUGUGGCAGCUUAGCAUCCUUUGAGUUGCACUACUGCCACCUACUGGUCUAGAGUUAAACAAACAUAUAAAAAACAAGUCAAAAUAAGAAAAUAGUGACAGAGGGAAGCAAUAUUUCCCAUGACUCUAUAAAACAACUGAGGCGAUAAUUUAAUACUAAUUAAAAUAAAUUAGCAUGGUUUAAUAUAAUUGCUUGUAAGAACUUGAAUAUUACACAAUGAAACGACUUGGUUUUGCCACAGGCAGUUGUCCUUUGUUGGUUAACUGCAAGUUCUGGUCUGGAUUGCCUUGAUUUUUAUUGGAUUCCAAGGAUAAUUUCAUUAAUUCUCUCCGUUCAUAAAUAAAACUAAAAACAAUCACAUUAUU